rnacentral:rRNA from 1 species
ACGCUGGCGGCAGGCCUAACACAUGCAAGUCGAGCGGUAACAGAAAUUAGCUUGCUAAUUUGCUGACGAGCGGCGGACGGGUGAGUAAUGCCUGGGAAUAUGCCUUAGUGUGGGGGAUAACUAUUGGAAACGAUAGCUAAUACCGCAUAAUGUCUUCGGACCAAAGAGGGGGACCUUCGGGCCUCUCGCGCUAAGAUUAGCCCAGGUGAGAUUAGCUAGUUGGUGAGGUAAGAGCUCACCAAGGCGACGAUCUCUAGCUGGUCUGAGAGGAUGAUCAGCCACACUGGAACUGAGACACGGUCCAGACUCCUACGGGAGGCAGCAGUGGGGAAUAUUGCACAAUGGGCGAAAGCCUGAUGCAGCCAUGCCGCGUGUAUGAAGAAGGCCUUCGGGUUGUAAAGUACUUUCAGUAGGGAGGAAGGCGUAGUCGUUAAUAGCGGCUUCGUUUGACGUUACCUACAGAAGAAGCACCGGCUAACUCCGUGCCAGCAGCCGCGGUAAUACGGAGGGUGCGAGCGUUAAUCGGAAUUACUGGGCGUAAAGCGCAUGCAGGUGGUUCAUUUAGUCAGAUGUGAAAGCCCGGGGCUCAACCUCGGAACCGCAUUUGAAACUGGUGAACUAGAGUGCUGUAGAGGGGGGUAGAAUUUCAGGUGUAGCGGUGAAAUGCGUAGAGAUCUGAAGGAAUACCAGUGGCGAAGGCGGCCCCCUGGACA